GCUGGCGGCAGGCCUAACACAUGCAAGUCGAGCGGUAGAGAGAAGCUUGCUUCUCUUGAGAGCGGCGGACGGGUGAGUAAUGCCUAGGAAUCUGCCUGGUAGUGGGGGAUAACGUUCGGAAACGGACGCUAAUACCGCAUACGUCCUACGGGAGAAAGCAGGGGACCUUCGGGCCUUGCGCUAUCAGAUGAGCCUAGGUCGGAUUAGCUAGUUGGUGAGGUAAUGGCUCACCAAGGCGACGAUCCGUAACUGGUCUGAGAGGAUGAUCAGUCACACUGGAACUGAGACACGGUCCAGACUCCUACGGGAGGCAGCAGUGGGGAAUAUUGGACAAUGGGCGAAAGCCUGAUCCAGCCAUGCCGCGUGUGUGAAGAAGGUCUUCGGAUUGUAAAGCACUUUAAGUUGGGAGGAAGGGUUGUAGAUUAAUACUCUGCAAUUUUGACGUUACCGACAGAAUAAGCACCGGCUAACUCUGUGCCAGCAGCCGCGGUAAUACAGAGGGUGCAAGCGUUAAUCGGAAUUACUGGGCGUAAAGCGCGCGUAGGUGGUUUGUUAAGUUGGAUGUGAAAUCCCCGGGCUCAACCUGGGAACUGCAUUCAAAACUGACUGACUAGAGUAUGGUAGAGGGUGGUGGAAUUUCCUGUGUAGCGGUGAAAUGCGUAGAUAUAGGAAGGAACACCAGUGGCGAAGGCGACCACCUGGACUAAUACUGACACUGAGGUGCGAAAGCG
rnacentral:rRNA from 1 species